CUUAGCUUGCUAAGGCUGAUGGCGACCGGCGCACGGGUGAGUAACACGUAUCCAACCUGCCGUCUACUCUUGGCCAGCCUUCUGAAAGGAAGAUUAAUCCAGGAUGGCAUCAUGAGUUCACAUGUCCGCAUGAUUAAAGGUAUUUUCCGGUAGACGAUGGGGAUGCGUUCCAUUAGAUAGUAGGCGGGGUAACGGCCCACCUAGUCAACGAUGGAUAGGGGUUCUGAGAGGAAGGUCCCCCACAUUGGAACUGAGACACGGUCCAAACUCCUACGGGAGGCAGCAGUGAGGAAUAUUGGUCAAUGGGCGAUGGCCUGAACCAGCCAAGUAGCGUGAAGGAUGACUGCCCUAUGGGUUGUAAACUUCUUUUAUAAAGGAAUAAAGUCGGGUAUGCAUACCCGUUUGCAUGUACUUUAUGAAUAAGGAUCGGCUAACUCCGUGCCAGCAGCCGCGGUAAUACGGAGGAUCCGAGCGUUAUCCGGAUUUAUUGGGUUUAAAGGGAGCGUAGAUGGAUGUUUAAGUCAGUUGUGAAAGUUUGCGGCUCAACCGUAAAAUUGCAGUUGAUACUGGAUGUCUUGAGUGCAGUUGAGGCAGGCGGAAUUCGUGGUGUAGCGGUGAAAUGCUUAGAUAUCACGAAGAACUCCGAUUGCGAAGGCAGCCUGCUAAGCUGCAACUGACAUUGAGGCUCGAAAGUGUGGGUAUCAAA
rnacentral:rRNA from 1 species